GUUGUAUGGUUAAGUGACUAAGCGUACACGGUGGAUGCCUGGGCAGUCAGAGGCGAUGAAGGACGUACUAACUUGCGAUAAGCGUAGAUGAGGCAGUAAGAGCCACUUGAGUCUACGAUUUCCGAAUGGGGAAACCCAGCUGCAUAAGCAGUUAUCUCAAUGUGAAUUCAUAGCAUUGUGAGGCGAACCGGGGGAACUGAAACAUCUAAGUACCCCGAGGAAGAGAAAUCAACCGAGAUUCCGGCAGUAGCGGCGAGCGAAACCGGAUUAGCCCUUAAGCUAAUCUUGCGUUAGGUGAACAUGCUGGAAAGCAUGGCAAUAAAGGGUGAUAGCCCCGUAACCAACAGCGCUUUAUCAGUGAAAUCGAGUAGGACGGGACACGUGUUAUCCUGUCUGAAUAUGGGGGGACCAUCCUCCAAGGCUAAAUACUCCUGACUGACCGAUAGUGAACCAGUACCGUGAGGGAAAGGCGAAAAGUACCCCUGUGAGGGGAGUGAAAUAGAACCUGAAACCGUGUACGUACAAGCAGUAGGAGCAGGCUUGUCCUGUGACUGCGUACCUUUUGUAUAAUGGGUCAGCGACUUAAUUUUAGUAGCAAGGUUAACCAUCUAGGGGAGCCGUAGGGAAACCGAGUCUUAACUGGGCGUCAUAGUUGCUAGGAUUAGACCCGAAACCGAGUGAUCUAGCCAUGGGCAGGUUGAAGAUUGAGUAACAUCAAUUGGAGGACCGAACCGACUAAUGUUGAAAAAUUAGCGGAUGACUUGUGGCUAGGGGUGAAAGGCCAAUCAAACUCGGAGAUAGCUGGUUCUCCCCGAAAGCUAUUUAGGUAGCGCCUCGGACGAAUACUACUGGGGGUAGAGCACUGUUAAGGCUAGGGGGUCAUCCCGACUUACCAACCCUUUGCAAACUCCGAAUACCAGUAAGUACUAUCCGGGAGACACACGGCGGGUGCUAACGUCCGUCGUGAAGAGGGAAACAACCCAGACCGCCAGCUAAGGUCCCAAAGUUAUAGCUAAGUGGGAAACGAUGUGGGAAGGCUCAGACAGCCAGGAUGUUGGCUUAGAAGCAGCCAUCAUUUAAAGAAAGCGUAAUAGCUCACUGGUCGAGUCGGCCUGCGCGGAAGAUUUAACGGGGCUAAGCUAUACACCGAAGCUGCGGCAAUGUGCU
rnacentral:rRNA from 1 species